AAUUAUAUAGUCUAAGAGGGAUAUUAAAUUGCAAAUUUAAAGGUAAAUAUUAUAUUUUAUAGUUU
rnacentral:tRNA from 1 species